rnacentral:rRNA from 1 species
UACGACUACAUAUCAGGCAUAUCAAUAAGCGGAGGAAAAGAAACUAACAAGGAUUCCCCUAGUAACGGCGAGUGAAGCGGGAAGAGCUCAAAUUUGAAAUCUUAAAGGGUUUCCCUUUACGAAUUGUAGUUUAAAGAAGUGUUUUCUGUUGGAGUUUCGGUAAAAGUUCUUUGGAAUAGGACAUCAUAGAGGGUGAGAAUCCCGUAUUUGACCGUUACUUUCCAGCUGUGUGAUACACUUUCAAAGAGUCGGAUUGUUUGGGAAUGCAGUCCAAAAUGGGUGGUAAAUUUCAUCUAAAGCUAAAUAUUGGCGAGAGACCGAUAGCGAACAAGUACCGUGAGGGAAAGAUGAAAAGAACUUUGAAAAGAGAGUUAAACAGUACGUGAAAUUGUCAAAAGGGAAGCGUUUGACACCAGUGUUGUUUAGUUGAAAAUCAAUUAAAUAAUUUUUGAUUUUGAGUAGUAUUGACUUCAUCAGCUUGCUGCAUCUUUUUCAGGAAUUUAUUUUAAUGCACUUUUCAGUUAACAAGUCAACAUCAAUUUCUUUUGUUGUAAAAGAGGUCAGUAGGAAGGUGGCUUACACUUCGGUGUAAGUGUUUAUAGCCUUUGACCUUCUGCAAUCGGAGAGAUUGAGGUCAUGCAGCGUAGAUCCUUCGGGGUUAGAUACACUUAGAUGCUAAGUUAUAGCUUUGUCAUAGACAACUUGUUGACUAUGAUUAAGUCAUGUAGCUUACUCGUUUGUCGCUAUUUUACCUACGCUUAGGAUGUUGACGCGCGUGUGUGCGUG